UCCAACUUAUCGCUGGCGGUCUCCUGCGAGUUCCCAACUUAAUGAUGGCAACACAGGACAAGGGUUGCGCUCGUUGCGGGACUUAACCCAACAUCUCACGACACGAGCUGACGACAGCCAUGCAGCACCUCGACUCCGGUCCCUUGCGGGAAGGCGAUGUUUCUACCGCUGAUCCGAAGCCGUUCGAGCCCAGGUAAGGUUCUUCGCGUUGCGUCGAAUUAAUCCACAUCAUCCACCGCUUGUGCGGGUCCCCGUCAAUUCCUUUGAGUUUUAACCUUGCGGCCGUACUCCCCAGGCGGAUCACUUCACGCGUUAGCUACGGUACCCAGGAAUCGCUUCCCGAACACCCAGUGAUCAUCGUUUAGGGCGUGGACUAC
rnacentral:misc_RNA from 1 species